CGUGAGCCUCAACCUCUUCGCCUCAUUGUUUGACGUUCCUGGAUCCGUCAUACGUUCCUGCUUCCUUCCUACGUUCCUGGAUCCGGAGCCUCAUUGCUCUUACCUUUCGUGAGCCUCAACCUCUUUGCCGUCAAAUUGUUGUUGUUUGACGUUCCUGGAUCCUUCUUACGUUCCUGCUUCCUUCCUAUGUUCCUGGAUCCUGAGCCUCAUUGCUCUUACCUUUCGUGAGCCUCAACCUCUUUGCCGUCAAAUUGUUGUUGUUUGACGUUCCUGGAUCCUUCUUACGUUCCUGCUUCCUUCCUAUGUUCCUGGAUCCUGAGCCUCAUUGCUCUUACCUUUCGUGAGCCUCAACCUCUUCGCCUCAUUGUUUGACGUUCCUGGAUCCGUCAUACGUUCCUGCUUCCUUCCUACGUUCCUGGAUCCGGAGGUAGGUGAUCAUAUCGUCAUUGGUAAAUAAUUAACAGGUAAAACGUUCUCCCCGUCAGGGAAUCGAACCCCGGUCUUCUGCGUGACAGGCAGAGAUACUGUCCACUAUACUAACGAGGAACGCCCAAACACUGGAUGUGGCACGUCACUCGCUAGGUGGCGCUAUUACAGCAUCUAGGCGACAGUGAAUACAUGUGGAAACAUUUAGGUUUACUAUAUAUUGACUGUCACUCAUGUCCAUGACAGAGCAGCUGUGACUGAAUCCUGUUUAACAUAUCUAUGUGUCAAAAAUAGACAUGUCAAACGGCAUUUUGAACAUUGUAAGUAAAAUAUGAAUGUUGCAUUUCCCGACGAACAUGUGAAAAACAGCUUUUCAUCGGUUUCCGUAGUGUAGUGGUUAUCACGUUUGCCUCACAAGCAGAGGCCAGUCGCAUAUAGGUGUAGAAGACUUUCUCGUAAAAAAGAAAAAAAGAAAAA